rnacentral:rRNA from 1 species
ACGGCCAUACCACAUUGAAAACACCGGUUCUCGUCCGAUCACCGAAGUUAAGCAAUGACGGGCCCGGUCAGUACUUGGGAGGGUGACCACCUGGGAACACCGGGUGCUGUAGGCU